AGAGCGCUAGCUCAGCCGCGCCGCCCCCGGCUUCCGACUUCCCCGCGGACCCGCUCGGCGGCCUCGCGCUCUCCCCGCCCGGCCCGCAGACGCACCAUGGGCCCCACGCGCUGUUUGGCGCUGGGCGGCCUCCUCGCUUUGGCGGGGUUGUUGGAGGGCCGGCUCGUAAGCGAGCAGGAAGCCGGCUUCGGCGAAUGCGACCGAUUCUUCUACGCCGGGACCCCGCCCGCGGGGCUGGCGGCCGCUGCCCACGUGAAGAUCUGUCAGCGCUCCGAGGGCGCCGAGCGCUUCGCCACCCUGUACAGCACCUGGGACCGUAUCCCCGUGUACUCGGCGUUCCGCGCCGCGCGCCCCGCGCCCCUGGGAGCCGAGCAGCGCUGGCUAGUGGAGCCGCAGAUUGAUGACCCCAACAGCAGCCUUGAGGAGGUGAUGGAUGAGGCUGAUGCCAUCAGUUCUGUGAACAAUCUGGGAAGCAAGCAAGCCUUGCAUGCAGAUUACCUGGGUUCUGAAUACCAGACAGGACAGCUGUACCCGUUCUCCCUCAGCAGUGACCCCGACACGGCCACGUUCACUCUCACAAAUGCAGCUCCAAUGACCCCAUCCUUCCAGAAACGGUGGUACGUGAAUCUCAACAGCCUAAUGGACCGGGCGCUGAGCCCACAGUGUGGCGAUGGGGAAGAGCUCUACAUCAUCGCAGGUGCCGUGCCUUCAGACCUCAAGGUCAAAGACAAAGUGACCAUCCCGGAGUUUGUUUGGCUGGCAGCCUGUUGUGCUGUCCCUGGAGGAGGCUGGGCCAUGGGCUUUGUCAAGCACACCGGGGACCGGGAGGUCAUAGAAGAUGUGAUGGUGAAAGAACUUGAGAAACUGCUUCCAUUCACGCCUCAGCUGUUCCAGAACAACUGUGGGGAAAGUGAACAAGACACAGAGAAGAUGAAAAAAAUCCUGGAAAUGGUCAACCAAGUCCAGGAUGAGGAGCGAAGGGUAGACUCUGAAGGGGACUCUGGGACCCUCUCCAGCAUGAGGAGUACCAGAACCACUCUGCUGCCUCCAGAGGCACCUGGGGAAAGGAGUAGCCUUUUGAGAAAACUCUUGGGCUUCACUGCUACCCCAUUCAUCAAGCUUUGCCAAUUAAUUUAUUUCCUUGCAGUCAGAAUCCUGAAGUACCUUGUGUAUUUCCUGUGGUAUGUCACCAAACAGGUGACUCGUGGUCUAGAAAGUUGUCUUUACCGCCUGGGGUCAGCCACCGUCUCCUACUUCUUGACCAUUGGGGAGGAGCUGGCCAGCAUUCCCUGGAAGGUACUCAAAGUCAUGGUCAGGAUCACCAGGGCCAUUCUCCGGAUCCUUUGUUGCCUGCUGAAGGUUGUUUGCCGUAUCGUGGGCAUCCCUGUCCGAGUCCUUGUGGACGUGGCCACUUUUCCUGUGUACACCAUAGGCGCAGUUCCAAUUGUGUGCAAGGACAUUGCAAUGGGCCUUGGUGGCAUCAUCUCUUUGUUCUUUGACACUGCUUUUGGCACCAUGGGUGGCCUAUUUCAGGUCAUUUUUACUGUCGGCAAGCAGAUUGGCUACAAGAUUACUUUUGACAAUCCUGGGGAGUUAUAGAAAAAAAAAAACUGAGUGCCCAGUCACAGUGAAUUUGAUUUUUUUUUUUUUAAUAGAGACAGCUGGAAUAUUUUGCCUGUAUAAUGGGUUUCUGUUCACUGUCAAUUAUUGUAAUAUUUUGGCCUUUGGUGGGGGGUGUCUGCCUGUUUUUGCAAAGGAAGAUGAUACAAUUUUGACUUCACCCACGAGAAGUGUUCAAGGUGAGAUUAUGUGUAGGUCGCCUGCUGUGAUGUGGGUGAACUUCUAAGCCAUCACCUUCAGUUAUUCACUCUGAUACAAGUGACCGUGUGAGAGACUCAGGUGUUCAUCUGUGAUAAUUAAAAAUUACAGGAAAGGAGGACAACUUUAAACCAAAGGCUUUCCAAGAAAAGUAGAAAGGAGUCUUGUUCCUCCUAUUAAUCUCUGAGACUUAAGGCGAAACUGAUAUAAAUAUUCCUGGCCAAUUUGUUAUCAUUUUGCUUCUUUUUCUUCCCAACUCAGCUGACCUGGUGAGGUAAAGACAUGCUUCCCUGUUGAAAUAACUUUCUUAGGACAUAGAAUCUGCUAUAUCUCUUAGCUUUCCAUGGCUCCCAAGGACCUGUAAGUUUGUUUUGUUUUUUUUCUUCAAAGUUGAAUUUCGCUGCACUUUUUCUUUUAGGUAAUGAUAAGCAUUUUAUGGCAAACGUGGCAUAACAAAUUCUGAAUGCAAGGACUAAGGUUGUUUGCCCCUUGAAUGCUAUAGUACAGUCCUCCCAGGUAAAAAAAAAAAGGGAGUGCAUAGGUCAGACCCCUGCUCUGAGUAGGUGCUGUAGGUCCGAGGAUAUCCUUAGCCAAGCUUGGAUUAACUUGACAUAUAUUAAAUCUCUGGCUGAGAAGACAGAGCUCAAAGACCUACAUGUUAAGCUAAUAUGAAAAUUCAUAUUCUGCAACAUACUAGAUCAUUCUUUCUUACACUUCAAACGAGUACCCAAUACCAAAAGUAGAAAGUAGUAAAACACUCUGACUUCUGUCCUUAAAUGAUUGCUUUGGUAGAAAGGUAUAAAAAAGAGCCCCCAACUAAAAACUCUUCUGGCCAUCUCGGAAAAAAAAAAAUCCAUAUACGUAUAUAUAAGUUUACAUAUGGAUAACCUUGAUUCAGAAUCAUUAUCUCAGGAAAUUAUUUUUUAGUGUGUUUGAGGCUAGAAAACAUAACUCUCCCAUUCACUCAAGUUCUGUGUGAGAGCUAAUCCCCGAUUUUUUGAUUAAGCACUUGUCAUUUUAAAUCUUGCACUGAAAAUGAUUGACAGGAAGAAGCUGAAGCUCCCAGACUUUGCUCUGCCUUCCACAGCUGAGAUGGAAUCACCUGGAUUUUUCUGAGUUUUCUAAAGAAUUGCUGUGGGGUAUAAUAGAAAAGGACCAAGGGUAAACUACUGAUUUGGGGAUUGCAGGCCACCAUGCAUCUGAAAGUUGGAUGCAGAAACUUGGGGUCCAGAAAGGCAACAAGGAGAGAAGGGUGGGCCAACCAUUUGCAUCAAGUCGGUGGACAAGAAAUGUGAGUGUAGUGAGAGUUACAUUUUGUAGAAAAAUAAUUGAAUUGGACCCAGAGUGGAAGAGCAGCCAGCAAGCUGCCAUCCUGAUCAAUUUGUGAUGCAAGGUAAGGUAGUAUGACACCAGACUGCGAACGUGUCAUAGGGAGCUAUGCACCAGAUUACCUAAGACUCUGAAGCAGUAUUUUACCAACACUUCUGUUAGUGAGCAUAAAAAUCUGUAGUCGGACUUUCCUUCGUUUUAGCAGCGUGAAAGUACACGAGGAGCAAGGGUUUGCCUUGGUACUGAUGGGUCAAGAAUCCUGCUGGACGAAAGGAAGGGAAUUUCAGAAGGGACCAGCGAGAUGGUCUGACCAAAGCCUCAUUUGAUGAGGAAGCUGAGGCCUGAUGCUAGGUGAUGGCAUAUCAGGAGCCAAGGUCUUCUGCAUAUGUCCCGUCACACCUGGGAUGUCAGAUCUGUGGUCCAGCUGCCUCCCUGGACCAGGGCAGAGUUUUCUCCAUCAUCCAUCAAACAGACUAGGCUCUGAUGGAUCAAAUGGGUUUGGCCUAUAUGAUGAAACAGCUAGCCAUCCAUGCAUAACAUCAUGCUUACUGCCUCCCAUGGACUCGAUAUCCCCUCAGAGUACUUAUUUGCAUACUGAAAGACCCAAAGAGGGCAUCCAUGGUAGCUUGGGUCCCUUGGCACCAUGGAAGGAGCAAGGUAUUUGAACUGCUGCUUGAGAACCAUUUGAAAAUGUCUUCCUUUUCAGUUCCAGUUGUUUAGCGUCUUAUUUAUUUAUUAUGGUGUGGCCUUUUUUGAAAUCUGGAAAGGAAAAAAUAUCCCUAAGUUUAGGUGGCUGAGACCCUUUGCUCUGGACCACUGGUAUUGGCUGUGCCUCUGGUUCACUGGCUGGACUGCUGGCCUGUUCCCAGUGAUCUACUUUGGGCUUUGGGGUGGGAGUUUGGGUUGAUGAGCCCCAUCUCUGGCUUGAAGAUUUUUCUGUGGCUCCGUUGUAUUCUCAGGCCUUUGGGGACGUCAGCCAACUCUUCAUCACUGUGGAGCUGAUUUUCUAGUCUGGAUCAGACAUGUCUUUGGACACUUUUCUUUUCCAUUGUGCCUUUUGAGUGUUUGCUUCUCAGCAUCAACACUUGCCCCUAAAUGCAGACGACGGUGUCAGGAGAAGGAACUAGAGUGAAACCCUGGUCAUUCAUUCAUCCAUCAAAUGUGUAUUUGGACAGCAAAGUUGCAGAGGUCGACGAUACAUGGACCCCAUGUUUGAGGAGUUCAAACAUCUAGUGGUGAGGACAUGGUGCAGCUGAUCCAUGUACCACAUCAUGAGAGAAGUUCCAUCCAGUACUGUAUGGAUCAGUGCUACUCUGAUUUGGAACAUCACUAUCUAGAACCAUCCCGAAGACUCCGUGUUAUAGGAGAGGCCAUGUUCUAACAAGAGCUUCCAGGAUUUCAGGCAUCUUCGGAAGAAAAACAAGGAGCUCAAGAUCAAAUUUGCCCUGAAUUCUGCACUUCAGUGCUUCUACAAAGAGUUACGGUAUAGGGCUUGGGGUUGGUUUUGUUUGUUGUUUGUUUGUAAGCCUGCACUCUGGAUUCUGUAGACCCGGGUUCAACUUUUAGUUCUCCUACGACACUUUUGGGAAAGUCUCCAAACUUCUGUGAAAUUUAAUUCCUUAUCUGUAAAAUGUGGAUAAUAAAAGUAUCAACCUCAAAAGGUUUAUGUAAGAACCAAAUGAGGGGAAUUCCCUGGUGGUCCAGGGGUUAGGAAUCGGCGCUUUCACUGCCGAGGGCUGGGAUUUAAUCCCUGGUCCAGGAACUAAGAUCCUUGCAAGC